UCAAAGUGAGCCGAUCUCACUCACUGUCAGACACUGCAGAGUGAGAAACAGAUGAUGGUUCUGUGGCAAACGUCCUUUUGCUGAAUAUUCUACCUACGUGGCAACAAAAACUUUGGCCCCAGCAGUUUCUCACUCUCCAGCUACUCCACUGGCAACUUCCAACAAUUUGUCAAAGUGACCACUUGCAUGCUCUUGCCAGUCUAUGGCUCCAGUUGCUUCUGUUCCAGGAAGAAGCAAAGAAGUCUAAGUUCUUUGGAGUAAGAUGCUCUCAAAUGCCUAGGAACACUGAUCUCCUAACUUGUCUUCCUGCUUUGAGUGUCCCUCUGAGGUUAAAGUUCCUGCCUCAGUCUCCAACAAUGGUAAGUACAAAAUCAAUGUUAGUUCCUGACCGCUCCCCCUCUCUGUGUAUUGGUCAAUCACUGUCUGAUCAUACUGUACUGAAAUUAAUUCUUGGAAUGUCUGUCUUCCCCUAGACUAUAAGCCUCUCUGGGCAAGAUCCACGUCUUACUCAUUUUUGUGUCUGCAGUUUAGUUCCUGGUUCAUUGUAGGUUCUCAAUAAACGUUUGUUAGAAUGAGUUGAUCUCUUGGAUCCAGUGCCCCAGAAAGAUAUGUAAGUACUAUUUUUAUCCUUUCCCAUUGUGUGUCCACCUUCUCUCCAAUCCUAGAUCACCAAAAGUGAAGCAGAAGUGAUGAGAGUAGCAAUUUGUAGUAUCAAAACGACUUCUUAUAGUGCACAGAAAGCCCAGCACUGUCUCGUAUGGGAGACUCGUGGUUCUGCCACUGUCUUGCUGGGUGACCUGAGAUAACUUCUUUUCUCUCUGGGUCUGAUUCCUCACAGGUCAUUUCCACUGCUGCCCACUGAGGAGUGCCACUGGAGAUGAUCUCACAACAAAGAGAGGGGGAGAGGCUGCUCCUCCCGUCAGAAGAUGGAGACUGCUUCCUUGCCCUUCAAUCCAAGCUGGCUCAUGACUUGCUUCAAUGAAUAGGAAAUGGCAGAAGUGAUGCUCUGAGGCUUCUGGGCCUAGACUUUAAGAGGUGUUGCCCCUUUCCUUUUUCCCUCUUGGGAUCCAGCCUACCACAUAGAGAAGUUUGGGUUGACAACUAAAUGUGAGAGAGAGACAGACAGAGAGAAGAGGGAGAGCUGAUUCAGCUAGACCUUAGUCAUUCCAGCCAUCCUAGCUGAAGCACUAGCAUGUGAAAGAAGCCACCUUCUAACCUAUCAAUCAGAGCCCCCAAUUUUACUGACCUCAGUCAACACCAUGUGGAACAGAACUACCCCAGGGAGCCCAACCAACCCAUACAAUCAUGAGAAAUUAAAAACUGAUGUUGUAGCCUCCUGAGUUUUAAGGUAGUUUGUUACACAAAAAUACUGGAAUUUUGACCCACCUUCACCUCCAAUGCCAACCUAGUAAACCUGGAUAUAUCUUUCAAAAUUUGGCUCAAGUGUCAACUCUUUCAUGAACCCUCUGUAUCCUUUUCUUGCUCAUUCAAGCCCUAUUUUCUCUUCUCCUCCCCAAAAUUCCAUAGUACUUUGUAUUACAAACUAUGUGCUUACAACCCCCAAAGUCUCUGGGCAUCCAGAAGGCAGAGAUUUGGCUUAAUUCAUUUUUGCCUCUGCCUAGCCUAACACCCGGCACAUUUAGAUAUUUAGUUAUUGUUUGCUGAAUGAAUGGAUGCAUGAAGAAGAAAAUUUAACAGAUGAUAUCUACAGGCACAUCUGGCUCCAAAAUUGAAUCAUGUCAUCUAGCAAUGCUCAGUAAAGUUAACAUAAGCAAUUUC
rnacentral:lncRNA from 1 species